GAAGGUUUUGAAGCCAUAAGGGACACUGAACUAGAAAAUGGAUAAUUGAGCUUGAGCGUUGUCCUGAGAAAUGGGAACAGCCAAAAUAGAUUGGAAAUGGAGAGGGAAAUAGAAGAUGAAGCAUGAACCACGUGUUUGAAAGCUAUAAAGCCCCUCCUAUCUCUAUAUCUCUUCUCCUCUGUGUAUGGUUUGGCGGUGGUUGGAAAGGCAGAAAUUUUUUUCCCAUACUCUUUUGGACUCUUAUCCAAUUUCAUGGAAUGCAGCUACGCAGUGACUAUCUUCACCUUUAAAUUACAUUUCUCUGUCUUUAUGAGUUUUUCUUUGUCUUUAGCUUAGCUUCCUCUUUUAUUUUUA
rnacentral:sRNA from 1 species